CAGCAGCUGGGAAGGCAGCUGCACCAAGGGUCUUGGUUCUCCCACAGGCAAAGAAGGAGAGGAAAGCACAAUGGAGUGAGGAGUGGAGUGAUCCCUGUUGUUCAAAGUAUGGAAGUAAGGAAGGUGUGGCUCAUCCUGAAUUUGCCUGAAACCCUCUCUCAUCAAAGGACAGCUGUCAACCAGGAAGAAGGUUUAUCAGGACUUUUGAUUCAUGCAGCUUGAAUGUAGCACUGGAGAGGCCCUGGCCUUACUCCAAAACUCUCAUGGAUUUCAGCAGGUCAGCCCACGAUGGGCGCCUGAAACCAAAAGGGUAAGGAAGAAAGCCCAAGAGAUGUCAUUACUUUCCAUCAUCAUAGUGAUUUCUUAUAAAUGCCUUACAAUACUCUCAAAAAAAUACAAUUAUGCAUACAUAUUUGAUUCUACAAUCCUUGUAUUGUCCUGCUUAAGCUGCCUCUGUAUGAGAGUCAGAUUUUCCUCUAUUCCCUAAAUCACAGAGCAGGUUUCAAAUGUCAUUAUUCAGCUGCUUCUUUCCCCAUAGAUGUAACACUGUUUCUCACAGUGCAGUUUCACUGCUGAACAGCAAACGAACUGACCCAGAGGGACAUAGGAUCUGCAAGUCCCUCCUCAGACUUGCAGUGUUUCCUUGCCUUAAAGUAUGUAUCGGAACUCUUUGUUGGGACCCAUAUAUCUCACUGUGAGGCUACUGACUUGGAACCAGCAUCCUCCAGAAUUUAGUGAUAUUAUGGUACUUAUUUAACCCUGUGCAUAUACUUUGGUCUUGCUGAACUGGUGCCUGAAGAAAGUCUGGGUCCAGCAGGCAUUCCUGCAUACAUUCAAGGAUAAUAGGUGACUAAUCAGUAUGAGGAGAGCUGAUGCCCAACUUCUAGUGACUGUGAUCUUCAGUAAAACUAACUUUCACCAGUAACAUUUCUAGAAUCAUUUCAGUGUGGUAUAUGUACACUGUAAGUCACUGUGGCAUACAUACUCCCCUGUUUUCUUGCAGACACAGGAACUUCGAAUUUUUACUCUCCACCCUCCCACAUUCCAGUGCAAUUCCUUUCCUUAAUGAGCAUACACACAAAAUGACCUCUGUGUUCCCUUCUGCAGAAUUGUGCACUGUUUCCCUGAAUUCUGGAGCUCACAUUUUCAUGCUAAAAGGUGCAAUUAUUUUUCUGUGCAGCAACAUUUGCAAGAAGACUGGCUUUGCAAACCGAUUUUCAGCCUCUCAGUAGGUUGACAAGAAUUUGGUCAGACUGAUAGAGUCAACAGUGAUGGAAGUGCCUAGCUCUGAGAAACAUGUAAAGUUUUAUAGUAUGCUGUUGUAAAUGGCUGAUAGUGGUACAGGUGUGACAGACUGGGAACCCUCAUAGGAUAGAAUAUGGUAACUCCCCAGUGA